UGUGAGUAUCACACACACACACACACACACACACACACACACACACACACACAGCAUAUGCAUUUCCCACGCCUCCGCACGCCUGCCUGGCCGCCCACCCGACCAUCUCAGCGCAUCUGCAGCAUCUCCAAUUCGCGUCCUCGUCUCGCCGUGCUCAGGAAAGGGCUGAUUAUGGCGCCCAAGUAUCUGGAACGUAGUAUGGGGAUCACCACCUACCAACCUACGCACAUCUUCCACAUAAGGACACAAUUGAGAAGUAAGCACAGAAACUGGAAGAUAAACGUCACACCGCGAUGCGCGAUACACGGAUGACAUGAACUGUGGAAUUAACAGCAACUCAUGUACAUUAUAUAUUUUACAAAGCCGCGACGCUCUUCAUCAGUCUUUGUGUUUCUUAUCUAUAAUUUCCUUCUCUGCUUACUCCUGAGGCUGUUCCGUGAAACUCUCUUGAGCCUUCCCGCCAUCGCUGCCAGUGACGUUAAAAUGUAUAAUGAAUUGAAGGAAAGGACAGCGAAAGCGAGUGAAAAAUGCUAACAGGAGGGAAAAUGGUUGACUUUAAAGAAUAGUUAGGUUGACGAGCGGAAAGGGAUUCGAAAUUUAUAAUUAUUCGUAUUUUAUUCCUAGUGCGUAUACAUGAAUUAAAUCUUUGUAUGUAUGCGUGUCGUAUUCUGUUUUGACAUUUUGUUGGACGGCCCUGUGUGUGUGUGUGUGUGUGUGUGUGUGUGUGUGUGUGUGUGUGUGUGUGUGUAACUUUGUUCUGGUUAUUAGCGUCUAGUCAGUCUUUCCCUCCACGUUUAUCUCUCUCUCUCUUGUUUUCAUUUUAUCCAUUUCUACCUACUUAUAUUAAUUUCUCUGUACAUCUAGUUUCAGUUUGUUCCUGCUUAUAUUUUGUCCCUAUGUAUACAUAUAUGCAUGAGCUUUUAGUUUAUUUAUCUAUAUCAAUCCAUCUAUCAGUUCAUCUGCAUCUCUCUCUCUCUCUCUCUCUCUCUCUCUCUCUCUCUCUCUCUCUCUCUCUCUCUCUCUCUCUCUCUCUCUGUUUAUAUAUUCCCCCCUUUCAUCUAUAUUUACCUGCAUUCUCCCCUCUCUGCACCACUUUUUCUCUUUUAAUCUAUGAGUUUACACAUUUCUCAUCCACGCACCUACCUGCUUGUCUCUCCACGGGCACUCUAUCUACCUGCCAAGUGAGCAAAGACCAGGAGUAAUUACCUGUAUAGAAGCUGAGCCAACAUUCUCUGCAUCAAUUUUGUAUUUUCUAUGCCAAGUCAUUACCUGAGUGCCAUUUUCAAUCGCUUCCCUUUGAAGAAUUUUCUGUAAAAGCGAAGACUGAGCUCUUGGUGAGAGUAUUCCCGUCUCUUUUUCGCUCAUCGCUUCUGUCUAUCUUUGUUAAUCUCUCGUGUGUGUGCGUGUGUGUGUGUGUGUGUGUUUGUGUGUUGGGUGGGGGGGGUGGUUAUUGAGCUGUAAAUUAUUCCACAAAUACACAACAACAGCAUUCAUAAUUGUUGUAAUUAGAAAUAAUGGAUCACGACUUAUCAUAGACUUUUUUUCAUCGCUUGAGCAAUGUUGCAGAAAUCUAGUGUGGACAUCUGUCUUUCCACGUAGGUAUGAGACUUUCGACUUAUUGAAAUCUUCAUGUGUUGUGUAAACCUUUACGAAUCGCUCAAGUACCGAACAGCUUCGAAACAGAGAACAGAACCGCUGUGAUUCACUUCAGGCAGUUCCGCCGCGUAUGGUGAGGUGCACGUGUGUGAGUCUGUAUCCUUCGGCACUUAUUAUUUUUAGUCAAGAUGAAGUGGAAGCCCUGCCCUGAGUCACCUCCUGAACGCCCACCAGGUAGAGUGAGCAGGUAAUGGGUGUAUAUGGACUUGUAUAGGUGGCUUAGUGAAAGAUCUAGGCGCGCCUGUGUGUGUGCCCGGCGAGGUGGUGACGCCGCUGGGUCAGGGAGCCAUGGAGUUACCAGGCCAUCAUAAUAUAGU